GCCCAUUGUUCUCUCCGUGAAUCCUUGUUUAUGGUGGAGCAGGAAGGAACAUGAAGAAUGAUGGAAUUGAUUCUGCCAACAUUUCUGCUUUACACUGUAUCGAUCUCUCCAGCCCUGACAUUCAUACCUCUGUUUCUCUCCUCAAACAGGCUUGCUUAGAUUCAGGAUUUUUCUAUGUUGUCAAUCAUGGUAUUAGCCAGGAGUUUAUGGAUGAGGUUUUCGCUCAAAGCAAAAAGCUCUUUGAUCUUCCUUUGGAAGAGAAGAUGAAGCUUCUUAGAAAUGAAAAACAUCGGGGCUACACUCCUAGUCUAGAUGAACAUUUGGAUCCUGACAAUCAAAUAAAUGGUGACUAUAAG
rnacentral:misc_RNA from 1 species